rnacentral:lncRNA from 1 species
CGGAGAAGGAAGGUCUGUCCUGCCCAUCCAGCACAGUGCUUUCAAGCUCGCGUUUUUUAGCUGCAACUCCACCCCGUGCUGGUGGAAAAGGGAUCAGUUCCUACUGAUCGCAGGAAAGGGAGGUCACGGGGUUUGCUUGAUUAAAUCACCACAAGCCAAAAGGUUCUUUCUCUCUUCUCACUGAGAAUUGCUCAGAGGCUGUUUAAUUUGUUCCAAAAAGAAAAACAAAACAAAAAGACCAAACCCCAAGCCCAACCACCAACAGCACACACGGAAAAGCAGGUGUGUCUCAAGAUCCUGGGAAAACAAAGGGCAGAGACUGAGGCAGAAAGUGACACUUGGAUGGGAAGUUCCCAUCCCAGCACAAGAGGACAAGUUUGGAAAAGGCUCGGACAGGAUCAGCACUUAUCCUACAGAUACACAACUGGGUUUGGUUACACAAAUUGCUGAGGUUGGAUUGUAGAGAUGAAACUGAAGUGUUAACAGCUAGGACUGGAAUGAAGAGGGCAGCCUGGGCUACAGAAGAAAGCAAAGGAUGUUUAAGAUGGAUCUAAUUAGAAGAUCUUCUCUUUGAACGACCUGAGAAGGUAAACCAUGUUGUAUCUCUGGGUGUUGUCUUUAUUUUCUAAAACAUGUGUGGUGGUAACUAUUGUGCUGGGUGGAUUUGCAAGAGAAGGUGUAAUUAUUUUGCAACAUUCGUGAAAAAGAG